rnacentral:tRNA from 3 species
UGGGGCGUGGCCAAGUGGUAAGGCAGCAGGUUUUGAUCCUGAUAUUCGGAGGUUCGAACCCUUCCGUCCCAG